rnacentral:tRNA from 2 species
AGGGUAGUGGCGCAAUGGUAGCGCAUCGGUCUCCAAAACCGGCGGUUGGGGGUUCGAAUCCCUCCUACCCUGCAA